CGUAUCCGACCCCACUGCUUGCCCGCUCCCCGGCCACGGCACCAACCCGAUCGCCGCCGGUUCCGGCGACGU
rnacentral:sRNA from 1 species